GGAGAGUUACCGAAGCGGUCAUAACGGGGCGGUCUUGAAAACCGUUAGAGAGAAAUCUCACAGGGGUUCGAAUCCCUUACUCUCCG
rnacentral:tRNA from 1 species